rnacentral:rRNA from 1 species
AACGAACGCUGGCGGCAUGCCUAACACAUGCAAGUCGAACGAGACCUUCGGGUCUAGUGGCGCACGGGUGCGUAACGCGUGGGAACCUGCCCUUAGGUUCGGAAUAACUCCCCGAAAGGGGUGCUAAUACCGGAUAAUGUCUUCGGACCAAAGAUUUAUCGCCUUUGGAUGGGCCCGCGUUGGAUUAGCUAGUUGGUAGGGUAAAAGCCUACCAAGGCGACGAUCCAUAGCUGGUCUGAGAGGAUGAUCAGCCACACUGGGACUGAGACACGGCCCAGACUCUUACGGGAGGCAGCAGUGGGGAAUAGUGGACAAUGGGCGAAAGCCUGAUCCAGCAAUGCCGCGUGAGUGAUGAAGGCCUUAGGGUUGUAAAGCUCUUUUAACCGGGAUGAUAAUGACAGUACCGGGAGAAUAAGCUCCGGCUAACUACGUG